rnacentral:rRNA from 1 species
GACGAACGCUGGCGGCGUGCUUAACACAUGCAAGUCGAACGGAAAGGCCCUGCUUUUGUGGGGUGCUCGAGUGGCGAACGGGUGAGUAACACGUGAGUAACCUGCCCUUGACUUUGGGAUAACUUCAGGAAACUGGGGCUAAUACCGGAUAGGAGCUCCUGCUGCAUGGUGGGGGUUGGAAAGUUUCGGCGGUUGGGGAUGGACUCGCGGCUUAUCAGCUUGUUGGUGGGGUAGUGGCUUACCAAGGCUUUGACGGGUAGCCGGCCUGAGAGGGUGACCGGCAAAAUUGGGACUGAGAUACGGCCCAGACUCCUACGGGAGGAAGAAGUGGGGAAUAUUGCACAAGGGGCGGAAGCCGGAGGCAGAAAGGCGGCGUGCGGGAGGACGGCCUUGGGGUUGUAAACCGCUUUCGCUUGUGACGAAGGGUGGGUGACGGUAAUGGGUAAAGAAGCACCGGCUAACUACGU